rnacentral:rRNA from 1 species
AUGGUUACCCAUCUUCUUUUUGCGGAUGAUAGUAUUGUGUUCCUUGAAGGGUCGGAGAGUAAUCUGCUAACCCUCAAAGAAAUCUUAAGGGACUAUGAGAUGGCUUCAGGACAGAAAGUUAACAUGCAAAAGUCGUCCAUAUUUUUUGGGAAGGGGAGCACGGAGGAGAGUAAAGAUCAGCUCAAGGCGGUCAUUGGCAUCCAGUCAGAAGCACUCAGCGAGAAAUAUUUGGGUUUGCCUACCGCUGUGGGGAGAUCAAAGGAAGGUACGUUUAAAUAUGCCCGAGAGAGUGCCAAAGGAAAGGUCACGGGAUGGAAGGGGCAAGGUUUAUCGAAGAAGGCUCGGGAGGUGUUGGUUAAAUCGGGGCUCCAGUCUACCCCAACUUUCACCAUGAGUUGCUUCCAAAUCACCAAAAAAUUGUGCGGGAAUCUGACAUCUAUCUCUUCUACUUUUGGUGGGGUGAAGCUGACGGUGAGAAAAAGGUACACUGGAUCGCUUGGCAGAAAAUGUGUGCGAGCAAACGCGAGGGUGGAAUGGGUUUUCGGGAUAUGGAGGUUUUUAAUCAAGCGUUAUUGGCAAAGCAAGCGUGGAGGUUUUUGCAAGUCCCCUCCUCUCUUUGUGCACGUGUUCUCAAAGCACGUUAUUUUGAUCAUGGAACAAUCCUUAACGCAACUUGUCCGAGUGGUGGCUCUUACACUUUCAGGAGCAUUUUGUUUGGUCGUGACUUGUUGCUGGAGGGGCUGA